AUACAGUCAUUGUGACAGCAGAAUGCUGCUUGACCUCUUCUGAGAAGAGCUACACAACACUCAGCUUUCAGAGCUCACCUUUAACCACGUGGGAGCUGAAGGCACAGAAAGCUGUUCUUCUCACCUCAACUAGGUGAGCAGGGAUGUACCUUAACAAUGACCUUUGGCUCAUCAGACCUGGUAUGCACAGAAUGGGAGAUGGGUGACUUGCAUCCUGUUCUCACAGGAUGUAUGUGUCUUUUGUUCAGAACUUGUGCUUCUAGAUGUAUAAAUUGGUGGCUUGAUCGGGGAGCAAUCUGGUACCUGAUAUUUGUGAAUAAGGAUGGAAGAAGAUCCCUGAAAAGCUUAAUUUUGAGACAAAAAUAAACAGGAAGACAACCUCAUAGUUAAUGGAGGUGGGGAAAUGAUGAAUAAAACUAGUGAAAGCAGUGGGAAACUA